rnacentral:rRNA from 1 species
UACAGAGGUGGCGAGCGUUAUUCGGAAUUAUUGGGCGUAAAGGGCGCGUAGGCGGCUUGACAAGUCCCGGGUGAAAUCCCUCGGCUCAACCGAGGAACUGCCUUGGAAACUGUCUGGCUUGAGGUCGGGAGAGGGUAGUGGAAUUCCCAGUGUAGCGGUGAAAUGCGUAGAUACUGGGAGGAACACCGGUGGCGAAGGCGGCUACCUGGACCGGUUCUGACGCUGAGGCACGAAAGCGUGGGGAGCAAACAGG